UCCUCUCUUCCAGCUCUCAGAGAUGGAGUCAGACUUACUGUUCCUAUGGGUGUUGCUGCUCUGGGUUCCUGGCUCCAUUGGUGACAUUGUGCUGUCCCAGUCUCCAGCUUCUUUGGCUGCGUCUCUAGGGCAGACGGUCACCAUCUCCUGCAAGGCCAGCGAAAGUGUCUAUAGUAAUAUGCACUGGUACCAACAGAAACCAGGACAGCCACCCAAACUCCUCAUUUAUGAUGCAUCCUACCUAGCAUCUGGGGUUCCUGCCAGGUUCAGUGGCAGUGGGUCUGGGACAGACUAUACCCUCAAUAUCAAUCCUAUGGAGGCUGAUGAUGAUGCAGACUAUUACUGUCAGCAAGGUUAUAAGCUUCCUCCCACAAUGCUCCAGGCCUCAACGAAAACCUCCUGUGACUCCAUCCUGCCGGUGUCCCGAGACCCCAGAUGGUGGCCAAUCUCGGCACAUGGACCUGUCACCAUGCACCCCCACAGUCUCCAUCUUGCUACGUGCCCACCCCCAGUGGUGGCUGGGGCCAAGAUUGGAGGUUCUCACCAAAGAGUCCUGCACCCACCCCUGCUAUAA